rnacentral:lncRNA from 1 species
GGGAACUACUUCCGGGGGAGCGGCGCGGCGGCGCGGGAGGAGGCUGAACCGUCUGAGCCCAGAAGUGCUGAGGUGACGAGGAAGCCCAAGGCUGCUGUUCCUUCUGUGAACAAGAGGCCCAAGAAAGAGACUAAGAAGAAGCGGUAGAAGAGGAGGCCUGAGGAGCUGGGCGGGCAGGGAGAGGGUCUUGGGGACAGCCCUCCUGGGAAUCUACAUUGUGUUCCCCCGCAUUCCAGGCUCAGGGUCUGAGGAGGCUGUGACGCCCUAUGACCGCAGAGAUCUAGACAGUCGUAACAGUCCCCAGGCUCCAGCUGGGCAAUCCACCACUUCCUCUUCCUUCUGCUUCUGUGACGGUUUAGAGUCAAGGGGGCUGAAACACACUGUGAGCAUAGACUGUAUUAGGUUUGUUCAGAAGCCGGGUCAGCUCACAGAGUCACAUUUUCUUGCUUAGUCAUGUGUCCCUCCUUGAGUUGCCCCCUCCUUGUGGGUUUACACUACAUUUGGGAGUCAUUGUCUAAUGCUGACAAGCACACCCUCUCCCAUUAUUUGUGCACUACAGAUCUCCUCCUGAUCAGUCACCUUUGUUGCUGCUGUGUAGACAGAGCCAGGCCUCACCUGUUUGUUUAGGCCAAGAUGCCAUGGACAUGCAGCGUUAGUGAUCCCACUAGCUGUGACAGCCAGGCCCAGAAAAUGCCUGGCGUGAGAGCCAGCAGACAGCCAGGCCAGGGUAGGCAGUGCCUGCUUCUGCUCCAUCAGGUGCAGGGGAUUUGGCUGAAGGCGUGCAUAUUUCCUGGGCACAAACUUCCUGAGCCUCUGAAAUGGGAGGCUCGUCAAUUUCAGACCAACCUCUUUUCAACCCAUCAUAGCACGUUCAAGGUGUGCCUUUUACUUCUACCUGUACAUCCCCCAUCCCUUCAAUUCUUUCAUUCCCUGACCAGUGAGAGGGUUCCUGGGGGAAGUAUGGUGAAUAAACUGACAUGCAUGCUUCAG